UCUUGAACUCGGGGCCUCAAGUUAUCCACUGCUUUGGCCUCCCAAAGUGCUGGGACUACAGGCAUGACCCAUGGUGCCCCACCUUCUGUGUUUAACUUUUAAAGUGUCUUUGGUCAGUUGAAUAUCUUGCCUAUUGGGUAUUUUUAAAUGGAAAAUUUCUGUAAAUAUUCAGUGUUUUAAUUAGAAUCACAAAGCCAAAUGAUUGCCUCAUUGGAUAAUUUUAAGUAUUAUGAUGCAAUUCAAUAUAGGUACCCAAGUACUUAACUAGACUUAAAAAUAUCUUGUAUGUUUAACAGCUGUUUAGCUGGAACUAAAAAAGAGUGAGUCCUCUAUGUGUGUGUUUCUCCACUAUUCUGCCUGGGAUGGGAGAAGGAAAAAGUUAUUUUUUCCCCCUUGACUGCUGUUGCUGUGCCUGCUUUAGAAGAAGGCAGAGGUAAAGAUCAGGGAAGGCAACUUUCUUUCCAAAGAAACCUUAUGUGCCUGAAACUUAGUAACAUCUUCAGAUACUUCUUAAAAUAGCCUAGUUAUGGCAUAGCUGAAGGUGGUGGUAGGUUAAGUAACCUGCCUGUGUUACAUUCCUGGCUGCCUCUGUGUGUUCUGACCCUACUACCCUAGAGGGGCAAACAGCUAAGCAGGCACCUUUCAACCUUUGAAUGGUUUCAUAGUUUUUCAGCAUUUAGAUAUGUUGUUUCAUUCCCCCCUUUUUGUACUUAUGGGUGUCUUGGAAGGCAGCUGUAGUAUGCCUGUCGGCCGGCUAGACAAAGUUAUGGACAAAGUGGUUGUGGAGGAGGGCAUCUUUGGGUAAUUUACAGGUUUUUUUUGGGGGGGGGUAUGUGUGUGUACGUACAUAUGUGUGUGUACAUACACAUAUGUUAGUAUUAACAUUUAAAAAAUUUUUACAUAAAUAGUAUUUCACUAUCUUUUUGAUUUUGAAAAAAAUGAACUAAGUUGAACUCUAACCACCAUUUAUUAAAAUAUUUCUUUUAAACUCCAAACAGAGGCUCCAGAUCGUCUUUCAGGCACAACCUUUCCUGUUCUCUGGCAGCUCUGUGUGUAACGUUUCAAACCCAAGGGAGAGGAGUACUUUGGGUUUACACGGUUGAGGGUGGUGAUGAAUCCUCUCAUUUCCUGUGUGAGGAGGCUGGCCUGUUUGUUGCCAUGCCCCACCAAUGCUGGGGCCAAGGCAAGCAAAAGGGGACGCUCAGGUCCUAGCCUAAUUCCUGUCUCUGUAGAGCAAGCGGAACUUUCAAAAGUAUUUCUUUUUUUUACCUGUUUUGUAAAUGAAUAUGCUAAAUUUGCAUGGUGCAGAGGAAUCUGAGCUAUAGAGAGCAGGCCGAGGACUGUGGGGCUUCAUAAAGGGCAUUUUGAGCAGCUGGAGACCUGUGGUUAUCCUGUCCAGGCUCUUCCCCUGCUCUCCUUAACGUCCCAUAGAUGCUUCUGAUCUGGGAGGAAUUGAAAGAAGACCUCGUCUCCUGACUGAAAGUGGGAAGUGGCAGUCACUGAAUGCGCUUGCUGUGUGUCAUUACUGCCUGUCAGGCUGGCAGUUAACGGUUUUGUGUGUAGAGGAUGGUUUCUAAUGCUCUCUGCUAUUUGCUAAGCCAUAAAUAAGGAUAUACCGUCUGACAAGCACUAUAAUAGUAUGUAGGGCAGCUUUGAAAUCAAGACUGUCUGAUAGCCUUAAGCUGUGGUCACUGUCAUUUUUCCUCCUCUUGAAAGACAUUGGACUCUGAGGAUCUGGCUUACCGUCAUGUUUGGUGGACAAUUGUUUAUUAGCUUGCUUGAAAGAAUUAGUUCAUCUGUUAUAAUCACUGUAGUGUCAGUUUGAAUGACUGGAGCCAUUUUUGUAAAACUUGUGAAAUCUUUAUGUAUUUAUGAAAGUUAAACUUACUGAAGGCCGAAUGACUGCAGUGAAAGUAUGAAUCCUUUAAUUAAAUAAGUGGUUAGCAUUUAUAUAAGCAGUCUAAUCAGGACCCCAAAUAUUUGCUCAUUUUCUUUAGGACUAACCUGGAUGCCUGAUGGAGUAAUCGUCACUGUCCUGUAUAGAUCUUCUAGAUUUUUCAAAGUACUUUCAGUUUCACAGUGGUGGCAAAUUUUGUUUGUUUAUUUAAUUAUUUAGGGGGCAUGUUCUCAGUUUAGCCUGAUUAGUUAACUGCUGAAUGAAUAAUGCUAUUCUAAUACCCUGCUAGGAAGAAAUUUAUGUAAUUCAAAUUCCGAUUUAUAUGCAACAUUCUGUGUUUUUAUUGAGACAUGAUACUGCCUGACAGGGCUGCUUCAGCAGCUGUCAUCUGGUUUGUUGUUUCUUGUGUUGUUAUCUAGACUUUGCUAGCCUAAAAUCCAUUCUUCUCAGUGCCUCUGCAGGGCUGUCCAGUGAAUCAUCUAAAAUUAAACUUUCAUCAGAAAUAAGUUUGCUUUUUGUUUCCCCAGAGGACUGGAGUGAGUGGGCUUGAGAAUACCUGCAUGCAAAUUAAAUACAGAUAUAGAUAUAGAUACAGAUGUAGAUAUAGAUAAAUAUUUGGGAGCAUUAGGCCAAGUGCCAGUUAAGUCAGGAAGGAUGCAACCAUAGUUAUGAAGAUAAACUUUUUAAAUUGCAUUUGCCCAAACUUAAGCAUGUUUGUGAGUAUUUUGUACAAGUGACCGUUAUUUUAGUUGCCAUGUUAGAUAUGCUGCUUUCUUGAGCAUGGAUUUUUUUUUUUUUUUCAGUAAUAAGGUUUCAAAAGAUUUUUUUUUGCAGUCAUUUAAAAUCAACUGUUAAUUAAUCAUACCUAAAAUUUGGCAGAUUGUAUGUUUUAUUUAUUGCAACAUGUUAAGAAUUUCUCGUUUCCAGUUGACAUUUAAAAAUCUAAUGGCAGAUUGAUUUGUCUGUGCUCUUUUUGUUUUACUUAUUAAGUCAGGCAGCAGGUACUUACAGAGCUUCUAAUGUUUUAAGCCAUGGGGAAGUGGUAGUCAACAAAAGGGGUGGGAGGAGUCUUGUGGCCUUCACAUUCGCAGAAAUGCUGCACUAGGAGGGAGACUUUGGCCUCGAACCCACUAUCAGCCACCAGCCUCUAGGCAAAGUUAAAGAACUACUGGUCUUCAUUAUUUUUAUUAAGUGGUUGGACUUGUCUAAAAAGGUUUAAUUUCACCUCCAAACUUUCUCUUGAGACAUUGUGUGUCUUUGUUUACCUCUCUUUUGUUUCUAAACUUCCCUACCCUCUUUGCUACAUUUAAUUAAGGGCUCAAAGACUGCUCAAUAUCUUGUUUUAUAGUAAGUAGGAAAGAAUUUUAUUAAGAUAGGUUUCGUUACUGAUUAUUAGUUUAAAUUGUAUGGGCACUAUUCUCCACGUGAAAAUUUCAUAAUUGCUAAUAACUUAGUAUUAGGUGGUAUUAUCUGCUUUAUUUAUUCUUACUAUUUAAAAUAUAUUAUAACUUUAGGAUAUUAGGGAAAAUAUAAAUUUACCCAUAUUAUGUGUUAUACUCUGUAGAAUAUGAUAGUUUGUGGAAUUCAGCAGCCAUAUUGGAUUACUAUUUUAAUCCUUUCUGUGUUCCCAGAUGGUAUUACCAGAAAUAAAUUCUUGGCUUCCUAUUUCAGCUGUAAGAAUUUGGUUUACCUUUUGUAAACGAGAGGGUUAAGGUCCCUUUUACUCUAGGGUUAAAUAAGAUUUUCUGUAAUCCAGUUGUUGAAGAUAGUACAGUACCUCAAAAGUAAUAUGUGCUUGUUAAAUACAGAGUGAAUGAAAUACACAAAUCUGCAUAUUAGUCUCAGAGUUUCAAGAGGAUUUCAUUUUAAGUUAUACAGUAGGUUGGUGCAAAAGUUAUACAUAAGGUUGCCAAUAAAAUGGCAAAACCACAACUACUUAUGCACCAACUGAAUACUUAACAUUUACUUCUCCUGUCCUUUGUGCUGUGAUCGUUGUUUUAUUUAUAUGUAAUAAACUCCACAAUAUGUUAUUUUUGCUUUGAACAGUCAGUUGGCUUUCAAAAAUAUUAAGAAAAAUAUCUUUUAUAUUUAUGUACAUACAUAUUUACCAUUUCUGGUGCUCUUUAUUCCAUUGCAGGAAUCUCAGUUUCUAUCUUGGAAUCAUUUUCUUUCUGUGAACGUCUGUGAACAUUUUUUCAGGGCAGGUCUGUUGUUGACAAAUUCUUUAACUUUCAUUGGUCUGAAAGGUAUUUCACCUUCAUUUUGAAGGAUGUUCUCACUGGAUAUAGAAUUGUAGGUUCAAGGUCUCUUUUCUUUCAUCAUUUAAAGAUGUUUUAUUUUCUUCCAGCAGUGCAGAUGGUUUCUGAUGAGAGAUGGAUGGUUCCCCUGUAUGUAAACAGGUUUUUUUCUGUCUUUGGUUGCUUUUACAAUUUUUGUCUUUAUCAUUGGUUUUCAGCAAUUUGGUUGAAUUGCCUCAGUGUGAUUUUUUUUGAGUGGCUUUUCCCGUCUUUUGUUUGCUUGUUUUUGUUUCCAAUUUGGUUAAUUUAUAUUGCUUUGUUUUUCCAUUCACUGAUCUUUUCUUCUGCAGUGUCUAAACUGCUGUUAGGUCCAUUCAGUGAGUUUUUCAUUUCAGUUAUUUUGUUUCACAUUUUUAGAAUUUCCAUUUAGUUCCAUUUUAUAGAUUCUAUUUAUCUAUUAAGGUUCACUAUUCCCUUGUUUUGUCCAUGUUUUCCUUUAUAUUUUAAAACAUGUGUAAUAGUGGUUUUGGUCUGCUAAUUUCACUCUGUCAUUUCUGAGUCUUAGAUGGAUUUUUCCUCUAGAAUACAGGCCACAUUUUCUUGCUCCUUGCUAUGCAUAGUGAAUUGGGCUGGCUAUGAACAUGAGGAAUGCUGGCCUGUGAGUGUCUGCAUUUUGUUGUUCUCUUAAAAGAGUGUUGAAUGUCAUCCUGGCAGGCUGUCAAUUCACUUAUAGACCAUUUUGAUCCUUUGAGGGUUGUUUCCAUCUCUGUCAGGACAGGGGCCAGCCUUUACUGUAGGGCCAGAUUAGCCCUAGCCCUAAAUAUGGAUUUUCUGGGUCUCGGUUGAAUGUUUGUUGUGUCUAUUGGGGCUUUUCCACUGUAGCUGGUUUUGAACACUCAGUGCCUUCCAUCCAGUAUUGUGAAUUCUAGUAGUAGUUCAGUUCACAGUUCCCUGCAUCCUGUAGUAACAUGUAUUGGCCACUAGAGGGUAAUAAGAAAUCAGUUCAUUUGUUCUUACUGGAUCACUGUUACUAGAUAGCCCUUAUCAUUAGACUUUUUGCAUAAAGUCAUUGGCUACUUUCACUUUAAUAUGUAUUCAUUAAGCAGCUUCUGUGGAGCUAGGCACUGCACUGUGUGCUUAGGGUAUACAAAUGAGUAAGAGCAAUUGACUGAGCAAUAGCUCUGGCCCGUGCUGUAAGACUGUUCUCUGCUUCUGAUUCAGGAGCCCCUCAUUUAAAAAAUACUGCUUUCAUCCUUACCCCCCAUGCAGCUCCCUCCCUCCCUCUCUCAAUGAUUUCUUUACAGUCUAAAUAUUCCUGGUGGAUUCAGUUCAUUCUUUUAUUGCACAAAUAUUGAAUGCAGGCCAUGUGCCAGGCACUGUUCUUGGUGCUGAUGAUAAAAAUGAUGAACAAAGCUUACUCAUGGACUUUCACUUACUUGCCCUCUUAAUCAGGUGCCUUUAUUUCCAGCCAUCGUUAGAGGUGCUAUUCCUUUAACAUUUUGUCUUCGUUUUGGAUAUGUCUUGUUGCUGGGACCUUGUGGCUUUUCAUUUCUUAGUGGAUUCUGUCUCAGAACCGUGACCUCAUAAGAGUUUCCACAUUUAGAUGCUAUAGUUAUUAUUUUCAUUUACUUUUUGUUCUUUAAUAUUGUUUUUUGAUUUAACUGUUUCUCUUUAAAAUCUGCUAUCAAUUAAUACUGCCACAGGAAUGGUCCCCUGUCAGCACAUUUAUUACAAAGAAAUUCGGUUAGGUAAGCAGUAUACAUUCAGACCUAUGAGUAUAGAGCUACAUGUGGGUCUUAGAGAUAAAGGCUGUUGAUACUAGUUUUUACUGUUUUUUUUUUUAAACAUAG